UUUCCGUAGGUGAACCUGCGGAAGGAUCAUUAUUGUAUAACCGAGGUGCGAGGGCUGUCGCUGACCCGAAAGGUCGUGCACGCCCGAGUGGGUCCUCUUGCAUAAUAAUCCAUCUCACCCUUUGUGCAUCACCGCGUGGGCACCCUUCGGGAUCAUCUCGGAGGGGGGCUCGCGUUUUCACACAAACCCCCCUUUUAAAAGUGUAGAAUGACCACAUUUAUGCAAUCAAUACAACUUUCAACAACGGAUCUCUUGGCUCUC
rnacentral:misc_RNA from 1 species